GUAGCUCAGUGGUUAGAGCAGGGGACUCAUAAUCCCUUGGUCGUGGGUUCAAGUCCAUACGCUGAA
rnacentral:tRNA from 1 species